rnacentral:rRNA from 1 species
UACGAAGGUGGCAAGCGUUACUCGGAAUUACUGGGCGUAAAGGGCUCGUAGGUGGCCAACUAAGUCAGACGUGAAAUCCCUCAGCUUAACUGGGGAACUGCGUCUGAUACUGGAUGGCUUGAGUUUGGGAGAGGGAUGCGGAAUUCCAGGUGUAGCGGUGAAAUGCGUAGAUAUCUGGAGGAACACCGGUGGCGAAGGCGGCAUCCUGGACCAACACUGACACUGAGGAGCGAAGGCCAGGGGAGCAAACGGG